UACGGAGGGGGCUAGCGUUGUUCGGAAUUACUGGGCGUAAAGCGCACGUAGGCGGCUUUGUAAGUUAGAGGUGAAAGCCUGGAGCUCAACUCCAGAAUUGCCUUUAAGACUGCAUCGCUUGAAUCAUGGAGAGGCGGGUGGAAUUCCGAGUGAUAGAGGUGAAAUUCGUAGAUAUUCGGAAGAACACCAGUGGCGAAGGCGGCCCGCUGGACAUGUAUUGACGCUGAGGUGCGAAAGCGUGGGGAGCAAACAGG
rnacentral:rRNA from 1 species